GCCCACGUAGCUCAGGAGGCAGAGCGUCGCCUUGGUAAGGCGGAGGUCACCGGUUCAAGCCCGGUCGUGGGCUCCA
rnacentral:tRNA from 1 species